rnacentral:tRNA from 1 species
AAAAAGAUAAGCUAAUUAAGCUAUCGGGCCCAUACCCCGCCAAUAGGAGUUUAGCCUCCUUCUUUUUA